rnacentral:rRNA from 1 species
AGAGUGAACGCUGGCGGCAGGCCUAACACAUGCAAGUCGAGCGGCAGCACAGUCGUAGCAAUACGAUGGGUGGCGAGCGGCGGACGGGUGAGGAAUGCAUCGGAAUCUACCUUGUUGUGGGGGAUAACGUAGGGAAACUUACGCUAAUACCGCAUGAGACCGUAAGGUGAAAGCGGGGGACCUGUGAGGGCCUCGCGCGACAAGAUGAGCCGAUGCCGGAUUAGCUAGUUGGUGGGGUAAAGGCCCACAAGGCGACGAUCCGUAGCUGGUCUGAGAGGAUGAUCAGCCACACUGGAACUGAGACACGGUCCAGACUCCGUACGGAGGCAGCAGUGGGAAUA